rnacentral:rRNA from 1 species
UACGAAGGGGGCUAGCGUUGCUCGGAAUUACUGGGCGUAAAGCGCGCGUAGGCGGGUCGUUAAGGCGGGGGUGAAAUCCUGGAGCUCAACUCCAGAACUGCCUUCGAUACUGGCGAUCUUGAGUCCGGGAGAGGUGAGUGGAACUCCGAGUGUAGAGGUGAAAUUCGUAGAUAUUCGGAAGAACACCAGUGGCGAAGGCGGCUCACUGGCCCGGUACUGACGCUGAGGUGCGAAAGCGUGGGGAGCAAACAGG